CCUCGUCUUCCUCCCUCUGUGUCCUCACCUCUCCUCCUCCCUCUGCUGUCCUCACCCUCCUCCCUCAGCUGUCCUCACCUCUCCUCCUCCCCCUGCUGUUCUCUCCCCUCCUCCUUCUGGUUAUACAGCCCAUAAACAGUGCUGGCAGCAUCUUCUCUGAUUGUGUCCCCUCCUUUAAAGCCCUAUCCUGGGGCUGGUCACUGGAGUGGAAGCUGUCCAACUUACUUAAUUGUGAGUUCACUGUCACAUUCAGAGAGGAGAACGGGCUUCACUUACUGUUUUUCUCUCUUGCAUGACUGGGUCUCUGCCACUGAUGACACUUGGCACUGCCCCCCUCCCUGCCUGAAGGCGAGCAGUGCCACAGCCACUGUAUUUAAAACACAGACACUCACUUCUUUUCUCAGGAGAAAGAAGAGCCCUGCUUGGAGAGUUAAUUCGCUCUGCAGCUGACCCUCAGGGGCUGGGCAGUUUGCAGCACUCUCUCUGACCAGCUUCUUGUGCCAUAGGCUUCUUGCAAAGGACCAACAGCCUGGAAGAGAAGAGUCGCCUUGUGAGUGCCUUCAAGGAGAGGCAGUCCUCCAAGAACCUGCUUUCCUGUGAAAACAGCGACCGGGAUGCCCGCUUCCGGCGCACAGAGACAGACUUCUCCAAUCUGUUUGCUAGAGAUCUGCUUCCGGCUAAGAACGGGGAAGAGCAAACCGUGCAAUUCCUCCUGGAAGUGGUGGACAUACUCCUCAACUAUGUCCGCAAGACAUUUGAUCGCUCCACCAAGGUGCUGGACUUCCAUCACCCACACCAGUUGCUGG
rnacentral:sRNA from 1 species